ensembl:lncRNA
CUGGGUCGUCAUCACUGCUGUUCUCAUCAAAUGCAGGAGGCGAGCCAAAAUGACGGAGGAUGCUCAAAAACCAACCCAAGCCCAAAGAAUGAGGAAGUAUUGAAAGACGUCAUGAAUCAGAAACUGUUCAAUAGUUCACUGGUCGUUUUAUGGAAAGAAUAUGAGGUUAUCUGGAUAACAUAAUCCUGCUAGGGAUGAACCAGGAGGUAAUCUGACCUACGUCACUAUCAACCACGCUAAUUACAAUCCGAAGAAAAAGGUCAAAGUGAAGGAGGAAGCAGUGACUUAUUCUACAAUCAAGACCACAGUGAAGAUGGAGGCCAACAUUGAUCCCAGCAGCUUCUACAGCUCUGUCAGAUGAGUUUAUCACAAUGAAUGACUGGAAAUGAGACUUCUCUUAGUGUCAGCUGUGUCUGUCUUCUGUUGGCUUUGCUUUACGCUCUGGAAAAGAUAAAAUCUGCAAAGUAGAACUGGCUGCGUUUAUGGUUUUUAUCACAUUGGAUUAUAAAUUAUGUCACAUUGCUAAAGACUGUAGCUCUCAGUUUUUACUAUGAUAGAAGCUUUUUUUGCACUUUUUUGGUAAUAUAUUGUAUAUUGUAAAGGCUGGAUUUAAUCCUGUGCUGUUAUUUGUAGGACUGUGAACUGAACUUUUUCUUCUUCUUGUGCUUUUGUGUCAUAUUUACUGCUGUUAUGAUCUGCUAUAAAUGUCUUCAGAUGUUAUUGUUAUGGAAUGUUUCGCUCCUCAGGGACAAAAUAAGUGACUCACUUGAAAAUUGUUAUUAAAAUUCCGACUUGAACCUGUGAAUAUUUCAACUUUACAUUGACAUUUAAAUAAACAUUGAAUCAAAUUAAAACGAUUACAGUAGGUGUGUUUAUAGCAGUGCUGUUUCCUGUUUUAUUUCUAGCUAAG